rnacentral:rRNA from 2 species
GAGGGGCGGGGUCUUACCAUGCAGUCGAACGAUGAAGCCCAGCUUGCUGGGUGGAUUAGUGGCGAACGGGUGAGUAACACGUGAGCAACCUGCCCCUGACUCUGGGAUAAGCGCUGGAAACGGCGUCUAAUACUGGAUACGAACAAGAAUCGCAUGGUUACUUGUUGGAAAGAUUUUUCGGUUGGGGAUGGGCUCGCGGCCUAUCAGCUUGUUGGUGAGGUAAUGGCUCACCAAGGCGUCGACGGGUAGCCGGCCUGAGAGGGUGACCGGCCACACUGGGACUGAGACACGGCCCAGACUCCUACGGGAGGCAGCAGUGGGGAAUAUUGCACAAUGGGCGCAAGCCUGAUGCAGCAACGCCGCGUGAGGGAUGACGGCCUUCGGGUUGUAAACCUCUUUUAGCAGGGAAGAAGCGAGAGUGACGGUACCUGCAGAAAAAGCACCGGCUAACUACGUGCCAGCAGCCGCGGUAAUACGUAGGGUGCAAGCGUUAUCCGGAAUUAUUGGGCGUAAAGAGCUCGUAGGCGGUUUGUCGCGUCUGCUGUGAAAUCUGGGGGCUCAACCCCCAGCCUGCAGUGGGUACGGGCAGACUAGAGUGCGGUAGGGGAGAUUGGAAUUCCUGGUGUAGCGGUGGAAUGCGCAGAUAUCAGGAGGAACACCGAUGGCGAAGGCAGAUCUCUGGGCCGUAACUGACGCUGAGGAGCGAAAGGGUGGGGAGCAAACAGGCUUAGAUACCCUGGUAGUCCACCCCGUAAACGUUGGGAACUAGUUGUGGGGUCCAUUCCACGGAUUCCGUGACGCAGCUAACGCAUUAAGUUCCCCGCCUGGGGAGUACGGCCGCAAGGCUAAAACUCAAAGGAAUUGACGGGGACCCGCACAAGCGGCGGAGCAUGCGGAUUAAUUCGAUGCAACGCGAAGAACCUUACCAAGGCUUGACAUAUACGAGAACGGGCCAGAAAUGGUCAACUCUUUGGACACUCGUAAACAGGUGGUGCAUGGUUGUCGUCAGCUCGUGUCGUGAGAUGUUGGGUUAAGUCCCGCAACGAGCGCAACCCUCGUUCUAUGUUGCCAGCACGUAAUGGUGGGAACUCAUGGGAUACUGCCGGGGUCAACUCGGAGGAAGGUGGGGAUGACGUCAAAUCAUCAUGCCCCUUAUGUCUUGGGCUUCACGCAUGCUACAAUGGCCGGUACAAUGGGCUGCAAUACCGUGAGGUGGAGCGAAUCCCAAAAAGCCGGUCCCAGUUCGGAUUGAGGUCUGCAACUCGACCUCAUGAAGUCGGAGUCGCUAGUAAUCGCAGAUCAGCAACGCUGCGGUGAAUACGUUCCCGGGUCUUGUACACACCGCCCGUCAAGUCAUGAAAGUCGGUAACACCUGAAGCCGGUGGCCUAACCCCUUGUGGGAGGGAGCUUCGAAGUGAAUUCAUU